rnacentral:lncRNA from 1 species
CAAUUUUCUAUGCCUUCUAAGCCUAUUAAAUUUGAAAUCACUAUUGUACAGAGACACGGCGCAUAAAAUGCACCAAAUGGCAUUGGAUAUUUCAAAACAGGAAAUAAAAUAAGAAAUAAGGUGGCAUUUAUCUUUUACUCUGGUGCCCCUUAUAAAGGGCUCGGACGGUAGGAGCCAAUAUGAAUGUGUUUGUCCUUUGUUUAGUCAAUAUCUAAGAAUAUCUUAGUCUUCUGGUAGGUCGACAACUCUGACAACUUUAUCCAUCGUUUACACCAAAAUGAUGCUAUGGCCGACACAAAGGUUCGUGUAACAUAGUUCAUCAAAGAAGAAUAUAUUUUUUAUAUCAUGUGAAUGUUUAGAUUUGCAUUUAGGUCGUC